CAGAGACGUGUUGGCAGCAACCCGAUUUGAGAUCUUGCAGGGUCUCACCCGGGAUAACCACCACACAAUUAGUUAUGUCUCCUUGGACUCCUCUCCUCUGUGACAGGUUCUCAGAACUUUCUUGUUUUCAAUGACCUGGACAAUUUUGGUCAGCAAGAAUGCCUUCUGAAAAGGGGGAUUGGCUGAAAAGAGAAGGAAGAAGACAGCCAUCUACAAGUCAAGAACAGA